rnacentral:rRNA from 1 species
CACGUAGGGUGCGAGCGUUGUCCGGAAUUAUUGGGCGUAAAGAGCUCGUAGGCGGUGUGUCGCGUCGGCCGUGAAAACCUGGGGCUUAACUCUGGGCGUGCGGUCGAUACGGGCAUCACUGGAGUUCGGCAGGGGAGACUGGAAUUCCUGGUGUAGCGGUGAAAUGCGUAGAUAUCUGGAGGAACACCGGUGGCGAAGGCGGCAUCCUGGACCAACACUGACGCUGAGGAGCGAAAGCCAGGGGAGCAAACGGG